CUUCAUACAACACUCAUGAAAACGUGGAACUGCUGAGAUCAGCGAAAUCUGUGACUGCAUACCUUACUUAGAUACCUCAUCUGUUAUCCUGGGACCAGGAGCAUCUGAUGCAGAAGAAAGUAUAAUAACAGGCAUAAAUAUUAUAGGUUAAGAAGAGAAGAAAUAAUCCCUGCCUCUUUAUCAUCUUCUAAGAAUAUCAUAAGUUCUUAGUAAAAUAUUUACAAACUCUUUCAAUGGCCUUGAAGACAAGAUAAUAGAGAAUUAUCCUAU